rnacentral:rRNA from 1 species
CCUACGGGUGGCAGCAGUGGGGAAUAUUGCACAAUGGGGGGAACCCUGAUGCAGCGACGCCGCGUGGGUGAGGAAGUACUUCGGUAUGUAAAGCCCUAUCAGCCGGGAAGCAAAUGCCGGUACCUGACUAAGAAGCCCCGGCUAACUACGUGCCAGCCGCCGCGGUAAUACGUAGGGGGCCAGCGUUAUCCGGAUUUUCUGGGGGUAAAGGGAGCGUAGACGGCGGUACAAGUCUGAUGUGAAAGGCCGGGGCUCAACCCCGGGACUGCAUUGGAAACUGGCAUGCUGGAGUGCCGGAGGGGCAAGCGGAAUUCGUAGUGUAGCGGUGAAAUGCUUAGAUAUCACGAAGAACUCCGAUUGCGAAGGCAGCCUGCUGGACUGUAACUGACGCUGAUGCUCGAAAGUGUGGGUAUCAAACAGGAUUAGAUACCCCUGUAGUC